GUGCUAAGAACGCUCAAGCCAUGGAGAGAGAUGCAUUUGGAGUUGUUUACAUUCAGACAAAGCUCAUCUGGUUGUUUGCAGCUAGUCACAAGGUGGCCCAUUGUCCUGCCUUGCUUUUCUCCAUUAUCUCUGGGUCAAGUUGUUUCUUUGAUAAAUCCAAAUCAUGAAAAUAGCCUGCUGAAAGAAUUCACUUUGAAAAUGCCACAAAACAGACAAUGGAAAAAUGAGAUGAACAAGUGCGAAUCCAUCAUUCUUCUCAGGUUCUGGAAAAAUGCUGGUUUUCAGCUCCUGGAAAAUUCUCACAAGACAUCUGUUUUGUUUUAUAUCUUCAUUUGUUUCCAUUCAUCUUUCCUACUGUAGACACUGUCUAUGAUUUUUU